GACAGAGGGUGCAAACGUUGUUCGGAAUUACUGGGCGUAAAGCGAGUGUAGGCGGUUUGGUAAGUCGGAUGUGAAAGCCCCGGGCUCAACCCGGGAAGUGCACUCGAUACUGCCAAGCUAGAGUAUCGGAGAGGUUGGUGGAAUUCUCGGUGUAGAGGUGAAAUUCGUAGAUAUCGAGAGGAACACCGGUGGCGAAGGCGGCCAACUGGCCGAAUACUGACGCUGAGACUCGAAAGCGUGGGGAGCAAACAGG
rnacentral:rRNA from 1 species